GACGAACGCUGGCGGCGUGCUUAACACAUGCAAGUCGAACGGUAAGGCUCCAGCUUGCUGGGGUACACGAGUGGCGAACGGGUGAGUAACACGUGGGUGACCUGCCCUGCACUUCGGGAUAAGCCUGGGAAACUGGGUCUAAUACCGGAUAGGACCGCACCGUGAGGGUGGGGUGGAAAGUUUUUUCGGUGUGGGAUGGGCCCGCGGCCUAUCAGCUUGUUGGUGGGGUAAUGGCCUACCAAGGCGGCGACGGGUAGCCGGCCUGAGAGGGUGGACGGCCACAUUGGGACUGAGACACGGCCCAGACUCCUACGGGAGGCAGCAGUGGGGGAUAUUGCACGAUGGGCGGAAGCCUGAUGCAGCGACGCCGCGUGGGGGAUGACGGCCUUCGGGUUGUAAACUCCUUUCACCAUCGACGAAGGGUUUCUGACGGUAGAUGGAGAAGAAGCACCGGCUAACUACGUG
rnacentral:rRNA from 1 species